rnacentral:rRNA from 1 species
UACGUAGGGUGCAAGCGUUAAUCGGAAUUACUGGGCGUAAAGCGUGCGCAGGCGGUUGUGCAAGACAGAUGUGAAAUCCCCGGGCUUAACCUGGGAAUUGCAUUUGUGACUGCACGGCUAGAGUGUGUCAGAGGGGGGGUAGAAUUCCACGUGUAGCAGUGAAAUGCGUAGAGAUGUGGAGGAAUACCGAUGGCGAAGGCAGCCCCCUGGGUCAAGAUUGACGCUCAUGCACGAAAAGC